rnacentral:lncRNA from 1 species
AGUCUUGUAGCUGUCUUACCUCUGUUCUGGCUACAGGUCUGUGAGUCCCAAAUAGGUGUUCAUUUUCACCUCUCUGGUCUUUGUAAACGUCUCUUCAUGGCCUUCCCUGAUAAACUUGUUUGAGAAAGUUACCUCCUGAGAUGGGGGUGUGUCUCCCAUCUUCUUUUCCUGUAUUGUUUGCACAGCCCCGGUUCACUUCCUGCAUUUGUGUAUCUGUUCUUGAUCUGUCCAAGAAGUGGAAAUGACUAGAAUGUCCUUUCCAUGAGGUCAGCUACCUGUCUUCCUGGUAGUUGCUUCAAAACUUCCUCAGGUAAAAAGGUCUCACAGGUGGGAGAACUCUGGUUACUAGUGGGCCUGGUUCCUAGAGGCCUCCAAAUCACAAGUGGCAAGAUAUAUUUUUUAGGUAUUUCACAAACUAACUUGUUAGGAAAUUAGUAGAAAUAAAACUGGAAAAUCAGUUGGUGGGGUGCACACCAUUGAUCCUAGCACUCAGGAGGCAGGGCCAGGUGGAUUUCUGAGUUCAAGGCCAGCCUGGUCUACAGAGUGAGUUCUAGGCCAGCCAGGGAUGCAUAGAGAAACCCUGUCUCAAAAACAAAAACAACAGGAAAAAAAAAAUCAACCAAAACAAAACUGAGAAAACUACAUUGGUAGUAUCCAGCCAGCUUACUUUUAGAGUGAGCAAUAGAAUGUCAGGAAUGAGCUGCUCUGCGAGA